rnacentral:ncRNA from 1 species
CUUAUCCGGAGUGACCGAGGGAACAGGCCCUGUGACGUCCGACAACCUGCCGAUCUAUCGUAUUGUGUAAGGUGCCAAUUCCUGCGGUUUUACCGAAAGAUGAG